CGGGGUGCAGCAGGCGCGAAAACUUUACAAUGCCGGCAACGGCGAUAAGGGAACCUCGAGUGCCAGGUUACAAAUCUGGCUGUCGUGAUGCCUAAAAAGCAUUGCAUAGCAAGGGCCGGGCAAGACCGGUGCCAGCCGCCGCGGUAACACCGGCGGCUCGAGUGGUAACCGUUAUUAUUGGGUCUAAAGGGUCUGUAGCCGGCCGGGUAAGUCUCUUGGGAAAUCUGGCAGCUUAACUGUCAGGCUUUCAGGAGAUACUGCCUGGCUCGAGGCCGGGAGAGGUGAGAGGUACUUCGGGGGUAGGGGUGAAAUCUUGUAAUCCUUGAAGGACCACCAGUGGCGAAGGCGUCUCACCAGAACGGACCUGACGGCAAGGGACGAAAGCUAGGGGCACGAACCGGAUUAGAUACCCGGGUAGUCCUAGCCGUAAACGAUACUCGCUAGGUGUCGGCCACGGUGCGACCGUGGUCGGUGCCGUAGGGAAGCCGUGAAGCGAGCCACCUGGGAAGUACGGCCGCAAGGCUGAAACUUAAGGGAAUUGGCGGGGGAGCACAAGGGCGAAUUCGCG
rnacentral:rRNA from 1 species